rnacentral:rRNA from 1 species
CGGGCAGGUGGUCCGUUAAGUCGUCUGUGAAAAUCCGGGGCUCAACCCUGUGAAAUGCAGGCGAUACUGGCGGACUGGAGAUCGGUAGAGGCUAACGGAAUUCCUGGUGUAGCGGUGGAAUGCGUAGAUAUCAGGAAGAACACCCGUGGCGAAGGCGGUUAGCUGGGCCGAAUCUGACACUCAUCCGCGAAAGCGUGGGGAGCAAACA